UUGCUUGACUUUUAUCACUAAGCAUGAUAAAUUGCAACUUGAUAGUUCCUGAUUAGCAGAAUAAGCGUGACGGACCCGGGGGCAGUGCCCGGCGCCUCCACCACCAAACACCGAUAGGAUGUAGCUGCGGAGCCAGUGUAAUGGCGUUGAACCAGCUAAACAGUAUCCAUCAUAAGGGUUGCAGAUGGUGCGGGCCAGCAUCGACGCGGUUUGCGGGGGCGCAGUUAGCCCCAAACUGUUUGCAGAGUACCUUUCGGUGCUUGGUUAUGGGGGCGAAACAGGAUUGACGUGCGUAGUAAAAGCUAGUCGCGUAGGGGAUUAUCAACUACAAAUGCCAACGACAACAAGGCAUUUGCUCUCGCUGCCUAACGGUAGCUAGAGCGGGGUUUGGGGGGCACCUGGCAACAGAAGCCCCUCACU
rnacentral:tmRNA from 1 species